GUGUAAGCUCAGAUACCACAUCAAGGCAAAAUCUCUUAGGUGAGUCCUACACUAACAAUUCAUCUUGCUGUAUUCAGCAAAAAGACAAAAUUUGUAAUGAGACAGAGAAGGGUACUUUUCUAAACGCCCAGACACGUAUUAAACCUUAAACUAAGCGAAAGAAGGAGUAGGGAAGGUGAACAAACCCCCCACUGGUCCCUCAGAAAAGAAGGUUACAGGAG